CCACAGCAAAUGCUCAUCCAUUUUACACACAGAGGACGUCCAAACCACAAACGAAGAUGGCAAAGUUGUCGUGUUUCUGUUUAGGACUCGUCGCCACCACCCUCGUCCUCCUACUAUCAGCUGAAAUGGGAGUUUGUGAUAACCAAGAUUGCACAAGCACAAUUAUUCCAGGUGCCUGCGGCCAUGGUACCUGCGCCCAACAAUGUACAAAGCAGUUCGGGGGAGACGGUGAGUGCCUGCCUCAAGCCCCCAAUGUAUAUGCUUGUGUUUGCUUUUAUGACUGUCAUUGAUUCAAUUUCACCAUCUUUUCUAAUAAAUGGACUCCCGCUUUUCUCUGGUUUUACGCCUUCUCACUCCCCUCAACAUAUACAACAAUCAACUUUGACUGUCAUUGUCUGUGGAAUUUGAAGCCAGUCCUCAUUAGUAAACAAGGAAAAGAUAAACGCAACCUGAGGGCAAGAUAUUCAUGCAAUGGUCCCUGUCGGGAAAAUCAUAGUUUGUAAAUCGUCACAAUUUGAUGCCCGAGGUGCAAAUGAUCAACUCAAUAUUUAUAUACUUAAUUCAAGCCUUUUCUGAUUUUCUCUACCACUACUUGUAAAUGAUUAUAGCCUGAGGCUUCGUAGCACACUUAUGGACCUGAACCUGGGCGGUCUAUCCAUGACCAGAACAAACUUGUGCUAAAUUACUUGUUGCAAUAAGGAUAAUGCAAAUAAGCUCAACACAACAAUCCUAAUCUCUGACUACCCAGGAGCACCAUCGAAAAAUCCCGAAUUCAGUUGGAUUUCAUCCAACUGUACUUCAGAAAACUUCCAAGCAAAAUCAAUUUUAAAGAAAAACUAAGCUCACACCCAUCAUGAGUAAAAAGCAUUUACAGCAAAGCAGGGUAUAGAGAGCCAUCAACACCCAAUGUAAUUAUCAUGAGAUCAUAAACACCCAAUGUAAUUAUCAUGAGAUCAUAAACCGGACAUGCAAAAUAGCAAAAAAGAUAUAAUGCUUCUAUCUCAUCCAACAUGGCAAGCAACACCCAAAAUGCCGUAUCUUGAUUUCUUAGAAUCACCUAAAAAUAUUUUUGACAAGAGCCAUCAAUACAAUUUAGAUUCCCAUCCACCAUUUCUUUAGCAGGAAACUGCACUGACGAACCAGAAAGCAGCGCCAAGCACAUUCAAUCUACAAUCUGACGGCUUUCAUAUGCCAACAAGAACCACAUGGUAUCUGAUGCCAACCAACACAUGGAAACCCUCGACAAUAAAAGCUAUAGUGCUAAAACAAGUCAAAUAAAGAUUACCACAACUUGAUCGACAAAAUAAGAAAAUGACAUGCAUGUACUAAUGUCAUAUAUAUAUUUCACUCUGACCAAAAACCAAUUGCCAACAUUGUCCAUCACAUA